AAUAGAUACCCGGGUAGUCCUGGCCGUAAACGAUGGAUACUAGGUGUAGUUGGUAUCGACCCCGACUGUGCCGCAGCUAACGCGUUAAGUAUCCCGCCUGGGGAGUACGACCGCAAGGUUGAAACUCAAAGGAAUUGACGGGGGCCCGCACAAGCGGUGGAGCAUGUGGUUUAAUUCGAUGCAACGCGAAGAACCUUACCAAGGCUUGACAUGCCCGGAAUCCUCUUGAAAGAGGGGAGUGCCUUCGGGGACCGGGACACAGGUGGUGCAUGGCUGUCGUCAGCUCGUAUCGUGAGAUGUUGGGUUAAGUCCCGCAACGAGCGCAACCCUCGUCGUUAGUUGCCAACAGGUUAUGCUGGGCACCCUAGCGAGACUGCCGGUGACAAACCGGAGGAAGGUGGGGAUGACGUCAAGUCAUCAUGCCCCUUAUGCCUUGGGCUACGACACGUGCUACAAUGGUCGGGACAGAGGGCAGCAAGACCGCGAGGUGGAGCGAAUCCCAGAAACCCGGCCCAGUUCAGAUUGCAGGCUGCAACUGCCCG
rnacentral:rRNA from 1 species